rnacentral:rRNA from 1 species
GAGGUGUAAGUGCGGCAACGUAUUUAGCUGACUGAUACUAAUAGGUCGAGGGCUUGACCAAUAUAA